CACGUAGGCACCAAGCGUUGUCCGGAUUUAUUGGGCGUAAGGGCUUGUUGGCGGUUCGUUAAGUUUGGUGUGAAAUCUCCCGGCUCAACCGGGAGGGGUCAUCGGAUACUGGCGGACUAGAGACAGGUAGAGGAAAGCAGAAUUCCCGGUGUAGCGGUGAAAUGCGUAGAUAUCGGAAGGAACAUCAGUGGCGAAGGCGACUUCCUGGACCAAUACUGACGCUCAGGUGCGAAAGCGUGGGGAGCAAACAGG
rnacentral:rRNA from 1 species